UACGUAGGGAGCAAGCGUUAUCCGGAAUUAUUGGGUGUAAAGGGUGCGUAGACGGGAUAACAAGCUGGUUGUGAAACCCCUCGGCUCAACUGAGGAACUGCAACCAAAACUAUUAUUCUUGAGUGCAGGAGAGGAAAGUGGAAUUCCUAGUGUAGCGGUGAAAUGCGUAGAUAUUAGGAAGAACACCGGUGGCGAAGGCGACUUUCUGGACUGUAACUGACGUUGAGGCACGAAAGUGUGGGGAGCAAACAGG
rnacentral:rRNA from 1 species